rnacentral:lncRNA from 1 species
GAUUUGGUUCUUGAAAGUGACGGAUUUGGGCUUGGUGGCCUUGGACUUCUUGUCAAUUGCUAAGGCCUUGGGGCGGCGCUGGCCGGCGGGCUUCUCCUCUCGAUGGCGGCGCCACUGCGCUUCCCGUAGCCGCCGUGCCCCAUCUGCGAUAACUAAUACCUUUCCUCACACAAUCUUUGGUAUUUAUGCACAGACCAUACGACGUCGUUUUGGCGACUUAUCUACCGGUGACUUUCCAAGCUUUCAACUUUAUCAGUGAAAAUUAGUUUUGCACAAGCAUACUAGAGCUGCAAAAUCGACUCAGCCCGACGGCUCGGCUCG